GGGUUGUGAGGUUAAGCGACUAAGCGUACACGGUGGAUGCCCUGGCAGUCAGAGGCGAUGAAGGGCGUGCUAAUCUGCGAUAAGCGCCGGUAAGGUGAUAUGAACCGUUAUAACCGGCGAUACCCGAAUGGGGAAACCCAGUGUGAUUCGUCACACUAUCAUUAACUGAAUCCAUAGGUUAAUGAGGCGAACCGGGGGAACUGAAACAUCUAAGUACCCCGAGGAAAAGAAAUCAACCGAGAUUCCCCCAGUAGCGGCGAGCGAACGGGGAGGAGCCCAGAGCCUGAAUCAGCAUGUGUGUUAGUGGAAGCGUCUGGAAAGGCGCGCGAUACAGGGUGACAGCCCCGUACACAAAAGCGCAUGUGCUGUGAGCUCGAUGAGUAGGGCGGGACACGUGGUAUCCUGUCUGAAUAUGGGGGGACCAUCCUCCAAGGCUAAAUACUCCUGACUGACCGAUAGUGAACCAGUACCGUGAGGGAAAGGCGAAAAGAACCCCGGCGAGGGGAGUGAAAAAGAACCUGAAACCGUGUACGUACAAGCAGUGGGAGCCCCACCACUAAGCCAGUGGUGAACUCCACAUCCGCAUCCUUUGCUGAGGAUACGGUUAACGGAGCGAAAGCGACGUUCAACCGCAAAACAAGCAGAGGGGGCUUAGUGGUGGGGUGACUGCGUACCUUUUGUAUAAUGGGUCAGCGACUUAUAUUCUGUAGCAAGGUUAACCGAAUAGGGGAGCCGGAGGGAAACCGAGUCUUAAUUGGGCGUUAAGUUGCAGGGUAUAGACCCGAAACCCGGUGAUCUAGCCAUGGGCAGGUUGAAGGUUGGGUAACACUAACUGGAGGACCGAACCGACUAAUGUUGAAAAAUUAGCGGAUGACCUGUGGCUGGGGGUGAAAGGCCAAUCAAACCGGGAGAUAGCUGGUUCUCCCCGAAAGCUAUUUAGGUAGCGCCUCGUGAAUUCAUCUCCGGGGGUAGAGCACUGUUUCGGCUAGGGGGCCAUCCCGGCUUACCAACCCGAUGCAAACUGCGAAUACCGGAGAAUGUUAUCACGGGAGACACACGGCGGGUGCUAACGUCCGUCGUGAAGAGGGAAACAACCCAGACCGCCAGCUAAGGUCCCAAAGUCAUGGUUAAGUGGGAAACGAUGUGGGAAGGCCCAGACAGCCAGGAUGUUGGCUUAGAAGCAGCCAUCAUUUAAAGAAAGCGUAAUAGCUCACUGGUCGAGUCGGCCUGCGCGGAAGAUGUAACGGGGCUAAACCAUGCACCGAAGCUGCGGCAGCGAACGUAUCACCCAAGACAACUUUACGGAGUUGACGAUUGACGGAGCGAAGCGACGUCAAAGCGUUCAUUAAAGUCGAGUUGGCUUAGGGAUACGUUCGUUGGGUAGGGGAGCGUUCUGUAAGCCUGUGAAGGUGUGUCGUGAGGCAUGCUGGAGGUAUCAGAAGUGCGAAUGCUGACAUAAGUAACGAUAAAGCGGGUGAAAAGCCCGCUCGCCGGAAGACCAAGGG
rnacentral:rRNA from 1 species